UUAACAUUACAUGAAAAUAGAUAAUAAUAUUUUAUUAAUGUAUAAAAAUAUAUAGUAUCUACGUAGACGAACUAUUUUUAGUAAAAAUAAAGUAAAAAUAAAUUAACAAUAUAUAUACAAAUGGUAUCCCACCUAGCCCUGUAACCCUUAAUUACUCUUUUUUACUCGUAUUGGCCACGAUACGAAAAAUAUUAUUAUUCAGACCUAAUUUCCCCCUUGACAUACGAUAACUUUCUCCCGAAAUACUAUUCUGCAUCGGGACAAACGAGAGAAUAAUUAAAGAUGGCACAGUUUGAUGGAACAUCCUGCAUAUAAAAGACAAAGGAAAGACUAUGCGAUAUUCAACGAAUUUAAAGCGGCAUUCAGUAGAUAAACACCUUUUACUACAUAAGCUGAUGAGAAUAAGGGCAAAUGGAGAAAUAUUCUUUAUGAUCAAGUAGAUAUACAGGAAAAUGACAAACAGAGGAUUGCCAGUUGCGGGCCUAGCAGAUGGUCUUGAGUCAUGCAUAGAAAACAGGCAGGAAUGCUCCAUUCGUCCUCUAUUAUCUUCGUUGUUCGUAGAAGAUUUGAAAGUAGAUUAGUCUGUUGGUCGAGGAAUAGCAUCGAGGGAGGGGCGGUAUUUGUAGGGCAGACGAUGAUUGCGUUGAAGUUUGCGAACGAUGUGGUAACGGUGGUGAUUCGCAACAAGGAAGUCACAAUCUCAGGCAGUUGCUCGGAUCGCUGUGAAGAUACGUAAUGAAAAACUAUCUCGAAGUGAACGCAAAGAAGACGAAAGUGAUGUUGUUCAAGAGAGGAAGGAGGGCUAGAGAAAAGAGAUGGGAGAGAAUAAUGGGCAAAGAAUUAGAAUUAACGGGCCACUAGAAGUAUCUAGGCGUUUGAUUCUUGACAGGCAAUUACUUCAGACGGAAUGUAAGAGCAUAGGCAGGUAAAGAGCAGAAAGCUGUCAACGCUAUUUCGGAUAUGUGGAAACGGGCAAAAAUUAGCUCAUGGGAAAAAAUACACUUUUUGGAUAUGUUGGCAAAUAAUGGACUACACUGAGAGAGAGCACAGUAUGUACGUUAAAAUGGCAAUAGGAUUAAACAGAAAUACCCCGAAUCAAAUAUGAAGGUUAGGAUCAAACAGAACAAGAUUUGGCAUACAAGCCAGGAGGAGAGUCAAUAGAUACAUCUUGACCACAAUAAGGAUGGGAGAAAUCAGGUGGCCCAGGAUUUGCCUUAAGGAAGAAAUGAGAAAUAUAAGCAACAACAGUUCCUCCGACUAGGAAAGUAUACCAAAACCUGCGCUAUUAUGUAACAAAUUAUAGAAUGUCAAAUAGCGAUUAUCAUGAUGUGGUACAGCAUACUUAGGUGUAGUAUGAAGUAUGUGAAGAUACACUAUUUCUUGUGGAAGAGGAAAUGCACCAUAGAGAGCUGAUGGGAACUAUACCAUAUAAAUGGUGGUUUUUAGUAACAACAUUUACUACAUUUUCAUCAAUGAAAUAAUAAAUUUUUGUUUUAUUUUACCUGUAA